AAAAAAAAAACUAAAGUCGCUUACUAAAACUAAAAGGAAAUUUUCAUUGAAGCGGGUUUGAGAAACUAAAAGGGUUUUUUUUCUCACGGUUUUAACCUAGAUUUACAAAACUGAUAAUCAUAUCUUCGAUUGUUCUUCUUCUUUUUCUAAUCGCCGUUCUUCUGCAGAGCUUUGGUUCACAAAACUAUUCAUCGUCUCUUUGACUAUUUGCCGUUCUUCAACGGAACUUUGGAUGGUAGGAAGAGCAUAGAUUGAAGUUCAUGUGGACUGUGUUUGGACGAAUAAAUUAAAUGUUAGAUAGAUUCUAGAUUUCUUGAACUAUUAGUUCUUUUUGGAGAUUCAUUAGCUUUCUUAAUUGAUGUAUUUAUAUUAUAGUAAUGGUUUUUUUAUUAGAAUGAUCGUUAAGGAUAUUUUAUUUUUAAAUUUUAUUUCUUGACAAAGAGAACAAUGGAUAUUUUAUUGUAAAAAAAAGUAAAACUUAAUUUGAAAUUAAUGUUUUACUUUUGAAA